CAGCCGUAAACUAUGCGCGUUAGGUGUAUCGGUGACCACGAGUUACCGAGGUGCCGAAGGGAAACCGUGAAACGUGCCGCCUGGGAAGUACGGUCGCAAGGCUGAAACUUAAAGGAAUUGGCGGGGGAGCACCACAACAGGUGGAGCCUGCGGUUUAAUUGGACUCAUCGCCGGGAAGCUCACCGGAUAGGACAGCAGAAUGAUUGCCGGGCUGAAGACCCUGCAUGACUAGCUGAGAGGAGGUGCAUGGCGUAGACGUCU
rnacentral:rRNA from 1 species